CAGCAGCCACGGUAAUACGAACCGUGCGAACGUUAUUCGGAAUCACUGGGCUUAAAGCGCGUGUAGGCGGGCCGCCACGUCGGCUGCUGAAAUCCCCCGGCUCAACCGGGGAACGGGCACCGAUACGAGCGGCCUGGAGGGGGGUAGGGGGGACUGGAACUUCCGGUGGAGCGGUGAAAUGCGUUGGGAUCGGAAGGAACGCCCGUGGCGAAAGCGAGUCCCCGGACCCUUUCUGACGCUGAGACGCGAAAGCCAGGGGAGCGAACGGGAUUAGAGACCCCGGUAGUCCCUGUCUCUUAUA
rnacentral:rRNA from 1 species